CGGGUGAGUAACACGUAAAGAACCUGCCUCAUAGACUGGGAUAACUUCGGGAAACCGGAGCUAAUACCGGAUAAUAUAUUGAACCGCAUGGUUCAAUAGUGAAAGACGGUUUUGCUGUCACUUAUAGAUGGAUCCGCGCCGCAUUAGCUAGUUGGUAAGGUAACGGCUUACCAAGGCAACGAUGCGUAGCCGACCUGAGAGGGUGAUCGGCCACACUGGAACUGAGACACGGUCCAG
rnacentral:rRNA from 1 species